GCGCCCAUAGCUCAGCUGGAUCAGAGUGCGUGGCUACGAACCACGAGGUCGGGAGUUCGAAUCUCUCUGGGCGUGCCA
rnacentral:tRNA from 1 species